rnacentral:lncRNA from 1 species
CAGCAAGCAGUUUAUUUAUUGCUCACCCAGAGAUGGAUGGAGGCUGGCAGGGAUUCGCCUUCAUCCUGUGAUUCAGCAAUGCAGGCUCCUCCACCCGUGGUAGCGCCGUGUCAAUACGUAGCUUCUCAGGUCACUGCUAGAGGGGAAGAGAAGAAUGGAAAGUUGCACCAGCUCUUAACAGCCUCAACUCAGAGAUGACACGUGUCUCUUCUGCUCCCAAUCCCUCAGCCAGAAUUAGUAAUGUGGGCUGCUGAAAAAUGUCAGGAGUGCAUGGAUAUUUGGAGAGUGCUGUUUCUGCCACCUUAUUUCAUACCAAACCACAGAAACAAAAUUGGUGACUCUUCUUAGUAAAUUAGAACAGAGUAUCAAAAGGAUUAUUAGGAUCAGAGCAUCUGGAAUGACCAAUGAGUCCAUUAAGUCAGGAGAAUUAGAACAGAACCAUUAUGAGGAAUCAUAAUGGUCAGAAUGGGAACAAACUGACCAAAGGGCUUACUGGAUGAAGCUAACCAGAUAGAGUGAGACCAGAGAGAAGAAGUGGCCCAGGAAGUCAUAACCUCCUGUUCCUGACUUGGACUUUCUCCUUUGUCCUAUGUCUGGAGACUUCUUGGAAGCUGGAGCACACAAAUAGCUACAGCAAACUUGAGGAAUGGGCAUGAAUAGACUGGCUUCGGGGAACCUGCCAGCUUGGCCGUGUGGCCAAGGUAAUAGGCAAGCCAAGGCAGAGCUAGAGCUCAGAGCUGGAGGGGAAAUUAAAGCAGCAAAUGUAGAAACAUUAAGCCUGAAGAGGCGACGACGUUGAAUUCUAAAAUGCAGGCCAAAGCUCAGACUGCAAGCUGUCUGGCUGCUCCGGGUGUGCCCAGAAGUCAAAGUCCAGCAGGGGCAAAGGUGGAGGUGUGGUCCUGCACGUGGGGUGUUGGGGGGAUGUGGAAGAGGAGGUGCUUUAAGAUCCAGAGAUUCCAGCUGCCCUGGUGCACCCUUGGAAGAAUAAAAGGCUAGGAACUGGACAAGUCAGGCUCGAGUCCAAGCUGCCUGAGGAAUCGGGGAAAGAAUGGAGCUCAGAGUGGGAGGUCAGGGCAGUAUUUAAAAAUCCAGGAUAGCAGCAAAGCUGGCGGUGGCCCCUGACUCUGGUAAGGGCAGCCUGCAGCACCAUGCCAAGGGGGGCCUGACUGAUCAUGCCCUGCAUUUGCAAACAAGGAUUAGUAGGGUAUGAGUAGGAUUCUGCUGGUGCCUGGGAAGGCAGUGCCAUCUACAACUUUACAAAGUUUUAACAAAGGCCUGAAGGACACAACCUUCCCCAAAGUCCUGACGUCGCUGUUUGCUGGCAACAAAUAGAGUCAAAAGAAGAGAGGCACAGAAUGUGCCAGGGGUGUGCUGCGUACAGCCCCGAUGACCACAAGGCCUUCUUGGGUCAAGUUCUGCCAUCUCUGGUUAAGAUGGGCUCACCCUCUAGGACCCUGAUUGAGUCCUCGGACCACCAAGAGUGCCCCACCAAGAGCCUCCCUCUUCUGGUGACUCGUGCCUGCUUCCCGUGGAGAGCUCCAGAAGGGAGGAAACUGUGAGGAGGUGGAGAACGUGGCAGGGAUCCUAACUUUCUUACUGAAGGAAGUUCUUCACAAGUACCCAUCUGCCUUCAGGGAAGAAAACAUAACUCAUUUUGGUCUUUCAAAUUCAGUUCUCAAAACCAAAUCCUGUUGUCAGCAAUCUGUGUCCCAACGCCUUCUUCAGCAACAGCAUUUUCCCUGUGGAAUUAGUUUCCAAUGUUCUUUCUUAAAUAAACCACUGAAGAUUAAAA